UCUCAAAUGCCUGCAUUCUAUUUGGAAAAUUUCCUCCUAAUUACAUUUCUGAGCACACCGUAUCUUCUAGAUUAACAAUAAAAGUUCUUCAGACAUGUUAGUCUGCAAGGUGGGUCUGAUGACCCCCAUUUUACACCAGUAAUCAAGACUCGGAAAGGUUCAGUUCUUUUGUCCAGGUAUUUGAUGAAUGGGGGAAUUGGCGUUCAACUCUAAUUUAGCAUCUCCAGACAGAAGUUCUGCGUGUGCUGUCCUUCUGUGGAGAAGGAGGGGAGACAGAUGUAGGUGAGAAAAAAAGGAGGGGUGACAGAGCGAAGGGAUUAAGGGGAUGAAAGCCUUUCCCAGUGAAUGCAUUUACCUUAAAAACUUGGAGGAAAGGGUGACGGAAGGAAAACCAAACAAGCAGAGGUGACAAGAGGGGUCCAGGGAGGAAGAGUUUGCCCUGUGGCUUAAUGGAGGAUGCCUUCCUGCUGCCUCCCUUGCAUGCACCUAAGAUUUUAGGAUACAGAUGUUUGGGAGAUGUGAGUCUUAGAGCCACUAAAAGGACCCCGACGGCUGAGAGAUGAGGAGAACCAUCAGGCCUAAACUAACUCCUUCUGAGAGUCAAGGUGCGUGUGGCUCACUUGCUCAGUUUCCUUCACUUAGUGUCUCUGAGCUCCUUUUCUGUGAUGGGCUCUGAGCUAGGUGCUGAUUAGAGAUGAGCAAAACCAUCCCCUGUUUACAGUAAACAUAAAGCCUGCUAGAAAAUACACUGCAGCCUUCAACAUCUGGAGAUUUAACGUAUUUGAAACCG
rnacentral:lncRNA from 1 species